rnacentral:rRNA from 1 species
UACGUAGGGUCCAAGCGUUAUCCGGAAUCACUGGGCGUAAAGCGUGCGUAGGCGGGAGUCUAAGUGAGAAAUUAAAUCGUGUGGCUCAACCAUAUCGAUGCUUUCUCAUACUGGGCACCUAGAGGAAGGCAGAGGCAAGUGGAAUUAGUAGUGUAGCAGUGAAAUGCGUAGAGAUUACUAGGAACACCAAUGGCGAAGGCAGCUUGCUGGGCCUUUUCUGACGCUGAGGUACGAAAGCGUGGGGAGCGAACAGG